rnacentral:rRNA from 1 species
CAAUAGCGUAUAUUUAGGUUGCUGCAGUUAAAAAGCUCGUAGUUGGAUUUCGGGUGGGAAUGGCCGGUCCGCCGUUUCGGUGUGCACUUGCUACGCCCACCUUGCUGCCGGGGACGUGCUCUUGAGUUCACGCUCGGGACACGGAGUCGGCGAGGUUACUUUGAGUAAAUUAGAGUGUUCAAAGCAGGCCUACGCUCUGAAUACAUUAGCAUGGAAUAACACGAUAGGACUCUGGCCUAUCUUGUUGGUCUGUAGGACCGGAGUAAUGAUUAAGAGGGACAGUCGGGGGCAUUCGUAUUUCAUUGUCAGAGGUGAAAUUCUUGGAUUUAUGAAAGACGAACUACUGCGAAAGCAUUUGCCAAGGAUGUUUUCAUUGA